AAUGAACGCUGGCGGCAGGCCUAACACAUGCAAGUCGAACGGAUCCUUCGGGAUUAGUGGCGGACGGGUGAGUAACGCGUGGGAACAUACCCAAAGGUACGGAAUAGCCUCGGGAAACUGGGAGUAAUACCGUAUGUGCUCGAAAGAGGAAAGAUUUAUCGCCUUUGGAUUGGCCCGCGUUGGAUUAGGUAGUUGGUGGGGUAAUGGCCUACCAAGCCGACGAUCCAUAGCUGGUUUGAGAGGAUGAUCAGCCACACUGGGACUGAGACACGGCCCAGACCCCUACGGGAGGCAGCAGUGGGGAAUCUUAGACAAUGGGGGAAACCCUGAUCUAGCCAUGCCGCGUGAUCGAUGAAGGCCUUAGGGUUGUAGAGAUCUUUCAGGUGGGAAGAUAAUGACUGUACCACCAGAAGAAGCCCCGGCUAACUCCGUGCCAGCAGCCGCCGUAA
rnacentral:rRNA from 1 species